UACGUAGGGUCCGAGCGUUGUCCGGAAUUAUUGGGCGUAAAGGGCUCGUAGGCGGUUUGUCGCGUCGGGAGUGAAAACGCCGGGCUUAACCCGGUGCUUGCUUUCGAUACGGGCAGACUGGAGGUAUGCAGGGGAGAACGGAAUUCCUGGUGUAGCGGUGAAAUGCGCAGAUAUCAGGAGGAACACCGGUGGCGAAGGCGGAUCUCUGGGCCAGUACUGACACUGAGGAGCGAAAGCGUGGGUAGCAAACAGG
rnacentral:rRNA from 1 species